UACGUAGGGUGCAAGCGUUAAUCGGAAUUACUGGGCGUAAAGCGUACGUAGGUGGCUUGAUAAGUCAGAUGUGAAAUCCCCGGGCUUAACCUGGGAACUGCAUCUGAUACUGUCAGGCUAGAGUAGGUGAGAGGAAGGUAGAAUUCCAGGUGUAGCGGUGAAAUGCGUAGAGAUCUGGAGGAAUACCGAUGGCGAAGGCAGCCUUCUGGCAUCAUACUGACACUGAGGCUCGAAAGCGUGGGGAGCAAACAGG
rnacentral:rRNA from 1 species